UCUAAAUGGAGUCUCUCCCACACCAAGAGAAUCCUCAGAUGGGGCGUUUUGAUCUCUCUGUGCCUCCAGCAAAGUAGAGGGGCCAGAAUAAGUUUACAGGGCCAGUUUCUGUAAUAGGUUGAAAUGUGAAGGAGAAUGCGAAUUAGGAAGGAAAUGGGACACAAACUGUAACUAAAUAGAGAGUCUUUCUACAAUCUCCAAACCACCUAGCACAAAGGAGUCUUGAUCCAUGACAAGGGCUGCAAGGCACUACAGUAAUACAAAGGAGGUCAAAUUUAGGCUGCUAGGGUUAUGAGAGAAUUCUUUCAAAGCCACUGAAGUAAUACUCAAAGCACAGGCAGCAACUAUCUUAUGUUACCUGAACAAUAUACCCCAACAAAACCUGCUGGAAUUCUUCCAAGAAGCAAGGACACAUCCAAAGAAAGAAUCAAAG